CAGUAGCCGCGGUAACACCAGCACCUCGAGUGGUCAGGAGGUUUAUUGGGCCUAAAGCAUCCGUAGCCGGUUGCAUAAGUUUUCGGUUAAAUCUAUGCGCUUAACGUAUAGGCCGCCGAAAAUACUGUGCAGCUAGGGAGUGGGAGAGGUACACGGUACUCGAUAGGAAGGGGUAAAAUCCUUUGAUCUAUUGAUGACCACCUGUGGCGAAGGCGGUGUACCAGAACACGUUCGACGGUGAGGGAUGAAAGCUGGGGGAGCAAACCGGAUUAGAUACCCCCGUAGUCCCUGUCUCUUAUAC
rnacentral:rRNA from 1 species